rnacentral:rRNA from 1 species
GACGAACGCUGGCGGCGUGCUUAACACAUGCAAGUCGAACGGAAAGGCCUGCUUUCCCUUGUGUAUUGCGGGUACUCGAGUGGCGAACGGGUGAGUAAAACGUGAGUCAUCUGCCCCCAAAUUGGGUAUAAGCCGGGGAAAAUAGGUCUAAUUCCCGCUAGGACUGCAGGGUGGUUUGGGUGGUUGAAAAGGAUGUUCUAGGGGUCGGGGAUGAGCUGUUGGCCUAUCAGGUUGUGGGUGGGGUAAUGGCUGACCAAGGCGGCGACGGGUAGCCGGCCUGGGGUGGUGGACGGCCACAUUGGGACUGACAUACUGGGCAUGAGCCUACGGGAGGAAGCAGUCGGGAAGAAUGCGCGGUGGGCGGAAGACUGAUGCAGCGACGCUGAGUGGGGAAUGACGGGCUUCGGGUGGUAAACUCCGUUCGACAGCGCGGAAGCGACCUGGUUGGAAGGGUGGUGACGGUAGUGGGAAAAGAAGCACCGGCUAACUACGUG